rnacentral:rRNA from 1 species
UCGAGGAUCUUCGUCAAUGGGCGCAAGCCUGAACGAGCGAUGCCGCGUGCGCGAUGAAGGCCUUCGGGUUGUAAAGCGCUGUCGAGGGGGAGAAAAGCCCCGCAAGGGGUCUGAUCUAUCCCUGGAGGAAGCUCGGGCUAAGUUCGUGCCAGCAGCCGCGGUAAGACGAACCGAGCGAACGUUGUUCGGAAUCACUGGGCUUAAAGGGCGCGUAGGCGGGCUGUCAAGUCUGGGGUGAAAUCCCGCGGCUCAACCGUGGAACUGCCUCAGAUACUGACGGCCUCGAGGGAGGUAGGGGCGAGCGGAACUCUCAGUGGAGCGGUGAAAUGCGUUGAUAUUGGGAGGAACUCCGGUGGCGAAAGCGGCUCGCUGGGCCUCUUCUGACGCUGAUGCGCGAAAGCUAGGGGAGCAAACGG